AUGAGACUGCUAGGUCUCCUCCUGUGCCUGGUGACAGCCCCCCAAGGUGUCCUGUCCCAGGUGCAGCUGCAGGAGACAGGCCCAGGACUCCUGAAGCUCUCACAGACCCUCUCCCUCACCUGGUAUGUCUCUGGUUACUCCAUCACCAGUGGUUACUGCUGGAGCUGGAUCCACCAGCCUCCAGGGAAAGGGCUGGAGUGGAUUGCAGUCACAUGUUAUGAUGGGAGCUCUUACUCCAGCCCGUCCCUCAAGAGCCGCACCUCCAUCUCCAGAGACACGUCCAAGAACCAGUUCUCCCUGCAGCUGAGAUCCGUGACCACCGAGGACACAGCUGUGUAUUACUGUGCAAGAGACACAGUGAGGGGAAGUCAGUGUGAGCCCAAACACAAACCUCCUGUGUGGAGACAAGGGGGCUGGAGUGCAGCUGUGCCUAGGACACCAGGGGGCGCUGAGGACACCGGGGACAGUGGAAAACUACACUGA